rnacentral:rRNA from 1 species
AGCAGCCGCGGUAAUUCCAGCUCCAAUAGCGUAUAUUAAAGUUGUUGCAGUUAAAAAGCUCGUAGUUGAAUUUCGGGACUAAUAUGUCGGUCGUACUUUGUACGUACUAGCAUUAUUGGUUUCUCCCUUCUGACGAACCACGAUGCCAUUAAUUUGGUGUCGCGGGAAAUCAGGACUGUUACUUUGAAAAAAUUAGAGUGUUUAAAGCAAGCUCGCGCUUGAAUACAUUAGCAUGGAAUAAUGAAAUAGGACGUUUGAUUCUAUUUUGUUGGUUUCUAGGAUCGACGUAAUGAUUAAUAGGGAUAGUUGGGGGCAUUAGUAUUCAAUUGUCAGAGGUGAAAUUCUUGGAUUUAUUGAAGACUAACUACUGCGAAAGCAUUUGCCAAGGAUGUUUUCAUUAAUCAAGAACGAAAGUUAGGGGAUCGAAGACGAUACAGAUACCGUCAUAGUCUUAACCAUAAACUAUGACCGAUAGGGAUACGGAUGAUGUUAAUUUUUAAUGACUCAUUCGGCGCCUUAC